rnacentral:rRNA from 1 species
UACAGAGGGUGCGAGCGUUAAUCGGAUUUACUGGGCGUAAAGCGUGCGUAGGCGGCUUUUUAAGUCGGAUGUGAAAUCCCCGGGCUCAACCUGGGAAUUGCAUUCGAGACUGAAUAGCUAGGGUGCGGAAGAGGGAAGCGGAAUUUCCGGUGUAGCGGUGAAAUGCGUAGAUAUCGGAAGGAACAUCAGUGGCGAAAGCGGCUUCCUGGUCCAGCACCGACGUUCAGGCACGAAAGCGUGGGGAGCAAACAGGAUUAGAUACCCUGGUAGUCCACGCCGUAAACUAUGAUAACUAGCUGUCCGGGUACUUGGUAUUUGGGUGGCGCAGCUAACGCAUUAAGUUAUCCGCCUGGGGAGUACGGUCGCAAGAUUAAAACUCAAAUGAAUUGACGG